GGGUCUAAUGCCGGAUAUGACUCCUCAUCGCAUGGUGGGGGGUGGAAAGCUUUUUGUGGUUUUGGAUGGACUCGCGGCCUAUCAGCUUGUUGGUGAGGUAAUGGCUCACCAAGGCGACGACGGGUAGCCGGCCUGAGAGGGUGACCGGCCACACUGGGACUGAGACACGGCCCAGACUCCUACGGGAGGCAGCAGUGGGGAAUAUUGCACAAUGGGCGCAAGCCUGAUGCAGCGACGCCGCGUGAGGGAUGACGGCCUUCGGGUUGUAAACCUCUUUCAGUAGGGAAGAAGCGAAAGUGACGGUACCUGCAGAAGAAGCGCCGGCUAACUACGUGCCAGCAGCCGCGGUAAUACGUAGGGCGCAAGCGUUAUCCGGAAUUAUUGGGCGUAAAGAGCUCGUAGGCGGUUUGUCGCGUCUGCCGUGAAAGUCCGGGGCUCAACUCCGGAUCUGCGGUGGGUACGGGCAGACUAGAGUGAUGUAGGGGAGACUGGAAUUCCUGGUGUAGCGGUGAAAUGCGCAGAUAUCAGGAGGAACACCGAUGGCGAAGGCAGGUCUCUGGGCAUUAACUGACGCUGAGGAGCGAAAGCAUGGGGAGCGAACAGGAUUAGAUACCCUGGUAGUCCAUGCCGUAAACGUUGGGCACUAGGUGUGGGGGACAUUCCACGUUUUCCGCGCCGUAGCUAACGCA
rnacentral:rRNA from 1 species